rnacentral:rRNA from 1 species
GAUGAACGCUGGCGGCGUGCCUAAUACAUGCAAGUCGAGCGAACAGACGAGGAGCUUGCUCCUCUGACGUUAGCGGCGGACGGGUGAGUAACACGUGGAUAACCUACCUAUAAGACUGGGAUAACUUCGGGAAACCGGAGCUAAUACCGGAUAACAUGUUGAACCGCAUGGUUCAACAGUGAAAGACGGUCUUGCUGUCACUUAUAGAUGGAUCCGCGCCGCAUUAGCUAGUUGGUAAGGUAACGGCUUACCAAGGCAACGAUGCGUAGCCGACCUGAGAGGGUGAUCGGCCACACUGGAACUGAGACACGGUCCAGACUCCUACGGGAGGCAGCAGUAGGGAAUCUUCCGCAAUGGGCGAAAGCCUGACGGAGCAACGCCGCGGGAGUGAAGAAGGUCUUCGGAUCGUAAAACUCUGUUAUUAGGGAAGAACAAAUGUGUAAGUAACUAUGCACGUCUUGACGGUACCUAAUCAGAAAGCCACGGCUAACUACGUG